UACGGGGGGGGCAAGCGUUGUUCGGAAUUACUGGGCGUAAAGGGCUCGUAGGCGGCCAACUAAGUCGGACGUGAAAUCCCCAGGCUCAACCUGGGAACUGCGUCCGAUACUGGAUGGCUUGAAUCCGGGAGAGGGAUGCAGAAUUCCAGGUGUAGCGGUGAAAUGCGUAGAUAUCUGGAGGAACACCGGUGGCGAAGGCGGCGUUCUGGACUGCAACUGACACUGAGGAACGAAAGCCAGGGGAGCAAACGGG
rnacentral:rRNA from 1 species